rnacentral:rRNA from 1 species
UGAACGCUAGCUACAGGCUUAACACAUGCAAGUCGAGGGGCAGCAUGGUCUUAGCUUGCUAAGGCCGAUGGCGACCGGCGCACGGGUGAGUAACACGUAUCCAACCUGCCGUCUACUCUUGGACAGCCUUCUGAAAGGAAGAUUAAUACAAGAUGGCAUCAUGAGUCCGCAUGUUCACAUGAUUAAAGGUAUUCCGGUAGACGAUGGGGAUGCGUUCCAUUAGAUAGUAGGCGGGGUAACGGCCCACCUAGUCUUCGAUGGAUAGGGGUUCUGAGAGGAAGGUCCCCCACAUUGGAACUGAGACACGGUCCAAACUCCUACGGGAGGCAGCAGUGAGGAAUAUUGGUCAAUGGGCGAGAGCCUGAACCAGCCAAGUAGCGUGAAGGAUGACUGCCCUAUGGGUUGUAGACUUCUUUUAUAAAGGAAUAAAGUCGGGUAUGGAUACCCGUUUGCAUGUACUUUAUGAAUAAGGAUCGGCUAACUCCGUGCCAGCAGCCGCGGUAAUACGGAGGAUCCGAGCGCUAUCCGGAUUUAUUGGGUUUAAAGGGAGCGUAGAUGGAUGUUUAAGUCAGUUGUGAAAGUUUGCGGCUCAACCGUAAAAUUGCAGUUGAUACUGGAUAUCUUGAGUGCAGUUGAGGCAGGCGGAAUUCGUGGUGUAGCGGUGAAAUGCUUAGAUAUCACGAAGAACUCCGAUUGCGAAGGCAGCCUGCUAAGCUGCAACUGACAUUGAGGCUCGAAAGUGUGGGUAUCAAACAGGAUUAGAUACCCUGGUAGUCCACACGGUAAACGAUGAAUACUCGCUGUUUGCGAUAUACUGCAAGCGGCCAAGCGAAAGCGUUAAGUAUUCCACCUGGGGAGUACGCCGGCAACGGUGAAACUCAAAGGAAUUGACGGGGGCCCGCACAAGCGGAGGAACAUGUGGUUUAAUUCGAUGAUACGCGAGGAACCUUACCCGGGCUUAAAUUGCAGAUGAAUUACGGUGAAAGCCGUAAGCCGCAAGGCAUCUGUGAAGGUGCUGCAUGGUUGUCGUCAGCUCGUGCCGUGAGGUGUCGGCUUAAGUGCCAUAACGAGCGCAACCCUUGUUGUCAGUUACUAACAGGUUCCGCUGAGGACUCUGACAAGACUGCCAUCGUAAGAUGUGAGGAAGGUGGGGAUGACGUCAAAUCAGCACGGCCCUUACGUCCGGGGCUACACACGUGUUACAAUGGGGGGUACAGGGGGCCGCUACCACGCGAGUGGAUGCCAAUCCCCAAAACCUCUCUCAGUUCGGACUGGAGUCUGCAACCCGACUCCACGAAGCUGGAUUCGCUAGUAAUCGCGCAUCAGCCACGGCGCGGUGAAUACGUUCCCGGGCCUUGUACACACCGCCCGUCAAGCCAUGGGAGCCGGGGGUACCUGAAGUGCGUAACCGCGAGGAGCGCCCUAGGGUAAAACUGGUGACUGGGGCU